GACGUAGGGGGCAAGCGUUGUUCGGAAUUAUUGGGCGUAAAGCGCUCGUAGGCGGGACAGGAAGUUCGUGUUGAAAGACCUCGGCUCAACUGAGGGACCGGCUCGAAUACUCUUGUUCUUGAGGCAAUCAGAGGGUGAUGGAAUUCCCGGUGUAGCGGUGAAAUGCGUAGAGAUCCGGAAGAACACCGGUGGCGAAGGCGGCCUGCUGGGCAGUAGCUGACGCUGAGGCGCGACAGCGUGGGGAGCAAACAGG
rnacentral:rRNA from 1 species